ensembl:lncRNA
AGAACAGAGAGCAAGGUACUGAAAGGAAGGGUCAGAGAAAAACAGAAAGGCAAUGAUUCAGAAGCAGGCCGGGAAAAAUCCUUGUGGGCUGAGCCACCAGCAGGGCAAAACUCAGCCCUUGAGAUCUAAGCUGAGACGAAAAAAUGCUUCCCAGAGCUCAACGUGAUUCCAGCUCACAGUACACUUUCCAUAUCGACACAGACCUUACACGUGUGGCGCUGGGGAUGAGGACUCCAGCAUACGAAUUUUGGGAGGACGAAAUCCAGCCCCGGACACUGGGGCCCAGAGCAUGCGUGGGAAGGCAGCAUCCAUGGACCAUCACAAAGGACUUGGACCACGGCACUCCCUGACCUGCAGCUAGCCGUGUGGAUGGAAGGAGCGCAGGGCUGGUUCAGCGUCUGUAUUUCCAGUUUGGACACACAGAUGGAUCCCAAAGAUCACCUUGAAGAUGAACGGUCCCCAUGGCUGCACUCUGUGGCAUCGGGAUUUGGCUUCUUUCCAGGCAGUGUCCUCUGGAGAUUUACAUUUUUUCAUCCACAGUCAUGGCUGCAUAAACCAGAGGAGAAGCUGCGGAAGCCAAGGCCCAGAGAAGGUACACAGCUAGCCACUGUCACACAGCAGAGUUUGGCACCCGAAUAGGGUUGAGAGCCCCAGCCUGGUCUUGCCAAGUCUGCCAGCUCUUGUGUUCUGAGAUUUGGGUUCUUUGAGUCUGCAGCACAGACUGGACAGGAAGGAGCGGAGGGGAAAGGGCCUUGUGGUCGCCUGGAAGACGGGAAUGGAAGGAUGGUCAGUAGGUAAUGAGACAGCGCCUGGUCCGUCUCCCGCAGGAAGGCGGUGGGGAUUCAGCCAGGUGAGGACAGGUAAUUUCAGCAGGGGUGAAAAUGCAAAAUCCAUGUUGCCGUUUUGACUAGUGAACUGAUUUAACACUGGGGCCUGUCUUACUGUGGACAGUUGGGCAAGGUGAGAAGGGCCCUUUGCAGGCGCCGUAAUUCCC